UACGUAGGGUGCGAGCGUUGUCCGGAAUUAUUGGGCGUAAAGGGCUCGUAGGCGGUUUGUCGCGUCGGGAGUGAAAACCUUGGGCUUAACUCAGGGCUUGCUUUCGAUACGGGCAGACUAGAGGUAUGCAGGGGAGAACGGAAUUCCUGGUGUAGCGGUGAAAUGCGUAGAUAUCAAGAGGAACACCUGCGGCGAAGGCGGGUUGCUGGGCCGACACUGACGCUGAGGCGCGAAAGCUAGGGGAGCGAACAGG
rnacentral:rRNA from 1 species